rnacentral:rRNA from 1 species
AUGGCCGCCGCCUCCUCCCCCCUCGCCGCCGGCGACAGCGCGCACCGGCGGCAGUGGCGGUACACGUGGGAGACCCUGGCGCACCUCCCCCUCCUGCGUCUCUACCUCUCCCACCCGGCCCUCUCCGCCGCGGCGCCCUCCGGUCUCCGCGCCGACCUCCGCCUCGACGCCGACCUCCUCCUCCUCUCCUUCUUCCUUACGUCGGACCCCGUCUCCCUCAGGGUCCCCGUGCCGAGGGUGCUCGUGGACCCCUCCGUCCCGCCCGAGUGCCGUGCCGCGGGGGACCACCUCGAGGUCCGCCUCACCCUCGUCCUCCCCGUCGACCACCCCGUCGUCGCCGCCGCCUUCCCCGGCGCCGGCCCUCCCGCGCCCCUCUCCCUCCGCGAUGAUUUGAAGUCUCUAUCUUCUGGGGAUGUCCAUUUGUACUGCAAAACAUGCUCAGCAAGAUUGACAAAACAGCCACUAAGGGACGUUGUGGAAAUGCCAUCUUUAAAUUGGGAGGAUGUGGCUGACAAUUGGUUUGGUGGAUGUUGCACAUCAUUCGGAGGGGCAAGUGAGAAGUUAAUAUCACACUAUAUCAAUGCAUAUGGUCGCCUGCAGAGAACAACUCUACUAGAUGCUACCUCCAUUAUUAUAGAGAAGGAUUAUCUUGAGACAGAUAUAGUGUCGAGAGUAGAUAUUUCAGUGCCCAGUGUUGAUUUUGUUGCACUAGAAGAAGCUAUGUUUAAUGUUACUCUACAAAGCGAUCAUACUGCUGAGAAGAUAAAAUUGAAUAAUUCAGAAGAGGAGGUAUGCCAUGAAAAGAAAAUUGGUUCUAAUCACUUGCGACCUCCAGUUCUUUUGGAAGAGGGUCCUUGUAUUGAUAAUACUGAAAAAAAUGGAGGCACUCCUUGGACUGAUCAGUGUGGUACUAUCCAGCUGAAUAAUGGUGGCGAUGUGAACUCUGAGAAGUCUACAAGUGACUGUUUUAUUGAAAACAUGGAGCAAACUUCUCAAGAGGCUGAUUCGAAUCUGGUAGAUCCAUGCAGUUGCUGCGGUGACAGUGGAGAUAGUGGAAAAGCUGGAUUGGAGAACCAAAGAGAUUACAAGUUAACAAAAAGUAUCUCCCUUGGAAGUAGCUUUAUCAUUAAAGAAUCAAACCUUGUGAAAGAUGUUAACUGGGUUGAGCUUCUAUGUUCUCAUUGCUCGUCAUCUCUUGGGUCAUACCCAUCGCAAUAUUCAGAUGCUCCAUCAGAUGGACGGGUACGGCUGUUCAAAUGUUACACAUCCUCAGACCUUCCUGUUGGGGGUCCUCAUGAUGUGUUCAGGGGACACACAUUGGAAAAACUAUUUGUUAAUUUGUUGCUUGAAAUAGCUGAAGAUGAAAUAUCUUUUCGUACAGUAGUGAGAGAUUUGAAAACCAAAAGGCCCAUGCUGCAAAUAGUCCUUCUUAGUUCAAAAGCAUGGAUGUUUUCUGGUUACUGCUGUGAAAAUGAAAUGGAUGGUUCACAUGUGACAGCACAUCUGCAGCCUACUGUUAAGCUCCUGUAUUCUAACUGCAGUAGUGCGUCAGAAACAGACUUAAGGACAGUAGAGGAGUGGUCAUCCAAAUAUCGGGCUGAACAGUUAUACAUGAUGGUCGGGCAGAUAAAUGAACUUACUGAAUGCCUUAGCUCAGCUAAGGAUGAGUUCCCUCUUUCUUGCUCGUCUCUUGAAGGAAUGUGUCUUUCGUCUCUGGAGCGUUGA